GCAGUCGAACGCUUCUUUUUCCACCGGAGCUUGCUCCACCGGAAAAAGAGGAGUGGCGAACGGGUGAGUAACACGUGGGUAACCUGCCCAUCAGAAGGGGAUAACACUUGGAAACAGGUGCUAAUACCGUAUAACAAUCGAAACCGCAUGGUUUUGAUUUGAAAGGCGCUUUCGGGUGUCGCUGAUGGAUGGACCCGCGGUGCAUUAGCUAGUUGGUGAGGUAACGGCUCACCAAGGCGACGAUGCAUAGCCGACCUGAGAGGGUGAUCGGCCACAUUGGGACUGAGACACGGCCCAAACUCCUACGGGAGGCAGCAGUAGGGAAUCUUCGGCAAUGGACGAAAGUCUGACCGAGCAACGCCGCGUGAGUGAAGAAGGUUUUCGGAUCGUAAAACUCUGUUGUUAGAGAAGAACAAGGAUGAGAGUAACUGUUCAUCCCUUGACGGUAUCUAACCAGAAAGCCACGGCUAACUACGUGCCAGCAGCC
rnacentral:rRNA from 1 species